UACGGAGGGAGCUAGCGUUGUUCGGAAUUACUGGGCGUAAAGCGCGCGUAGGCGGCUUUGCAAGUCAGAGGUGAAAGCCCCGGGCUCAACCUGGGAAUUGCAUUUGAGACUGAAUAGCUAGGGUGCGGAAGAGGGAAGCGGAAUUUCCGGUGUAGCGGUGAAAUGCGUAGAUAUCGGAAGGAACACCAGUGGCGAAAGCGGCUUCCUGGUCCAGCACCGACGUUCAGGCACGAAAGCGUGGGGAGCAAACAGG
rnacentral:rRNA from 1 species